CACGUAGUUAGCCGGGGCUUCUUAGUCAGGUACCGUCAUCUUCUUCCCUGCUGAUAGAGCUUUACAUACCGAAAUACUUCUUCACUCACGCGGCGUCGCUGCAUCAGGGUUUCCCCCAUUGUGCAGUAUUCCCCACUGCUGCCUCCCGUAGGAGUUUGGGCCGUGUCUCAGUCCCAAUGUGGCCGGUCACUCUCUCAAGCCGGCUACUGAUCGCUGCCUUGGUAGGCCGUUACCCUGCCAACUAGCUAAUCAGACGCGGGCCCAUCCUGUACCACCGGAGUUUUUCACACCGUGCCAUGCGGCACUGUGCGCUUAUGCGGUAUUAGCACCCAUUUCGUGGGUGUUACGUCCCCCGGUACGAGGGCAGGUUGCCCACGCGUUACUCACCCGUCCGCCACUCAGUCACUACCCCUCUUCCGCCGGAGGCCUUCCGUGGUGUAUGCUUCGUUCGACUUGCAUGUGUGCACGCCGCAGCGUCACUCCUGAGCCGAGGACUACAAACUCC
rnacentral:rRNA from 1 species